rnacentral:rRNA from 1 species
AUACGUAGGGGGCGAGCGUUGUCCGGAUUUAUUGGGCGUAAAAGGCUUGUAGGUGGCCACGGCAAGUCGGAUGUGAAAUCUCCCGGCUCAACUGGGAGGGGUCAUUCGAUACUGCCGGGCUCGAGGCCGGUAGGGGGAAGCGGAAUUCCCGGUGUAGUGGUGGAAUGCGUAGAUAUCGGGAGGAAUACCAGAGGCGAAGGCGGCUUCCUGGACCGGUCCUGACACUGAGGAGCGAAAGCGUGGGGAGCGAUCCG